rnacentral:rRNA from 1 species
GGCAACCGAGUUGUAAUUUGGAGACGGGACACUAGAGAGGAGGAAGGCGAUUAAGUGCCUUGGAACAGGCUGCCGUAGAGGGUGAGAGCCCCGUGAAUCGCUGGAGACCGAUCAAUUAGUGCCCGCCGAAGAGUCGAGUUGUUUGGGAAUGCAGCUCUAAGUGGGUGGUAUAUUCCAUCUAAGGCUAAAUAUUAGCGAGAGACCGAUAGCAAACAAGUACAGUGAUGGAAAGAUGAAAAGAACUUUGGAAAGAGAGUGAAAUAGUACGUGAAAUUGUUGAAAGGGAAGGGUAUUUGAUCCGACAUGGUGUUUAGCAGCGGCCCGUUCCUCGUGGAUGGGUGCACCUGGUUUACACUGGGCCAGCAUCGGUUCUGGGAGCCAUAUACGGGGUUCGUGAAUGUGGCCCUUCGAUUCUGUCGGAGGGUGUUAUAGCGCGGACAUCUUGUGGC